rnacentral:rRNA from 1 species
AUUGAACGCUGGCGGCAGGCCUAACACAUGCAAGUCGAACGAGUGGCGGACGGGUGAGUAAUGUGUGGGAAACUGCCUGAUGGAGGGGGAUAACUACUGGAAAAGGUAGCUAAUACCGCAUACCAUCAGAUGUGCCCAGAUGGUAGUAGCUUGUUGGUGGGGGAACGGCUCACCAAGGCGACGAUCCCUAGCUGGUCUGAGAGGAUGACCAGCCACACUGGAACUGAGACACGGUCCGGACGCCUACGGGAGGCAGCAGUGGGUAACAUUGUGCAAUGGGGGCAAGCCUGAUGCAGACCUGCCGCGUGUAUGAAGAAGGCCUUCGGGUUGUAAAGUACUUUCAGCGGUGAGGCGUUACCCGCAGAGGAAGCACCGGCUAACUUCGUGCCAGCAGCCGCGGUAAUUC